GUGGGGAAUAUUGGGCAAUGGGCGCAAGCCUGACCCAGCAACGCCGCGUGAAGGAAGAAGGUCUUCGGAUUGUAAACUUCUGUCAUUGGGGACGAAGGAAGUGACGGUACCCAAUGAGGAAGCCCCGGCUAACUACGUGCCAGCAGCCGCGGUAAUACGUAGGGGGCGAGCGUUGUCCGGAAUUACUGGGCGUAAAGGGUGCGUAGGCGGCGAUGCAAGUCCAUUGUGAAAAGCCCGGGCUUAACCUGGGAGGUGCAGUGGAAACUGCAUGGCUUGAGUGCAGGAGAGGAAAGUGGAAUUCCUAGUGUAGCGGUGAAAUGCGUAGAUAUUAGGAGGAACACCAGUGGCGAAGGCGGCUUUCUGGACUGUAACUGACGCUGAGGCACGAAAGCGUGGGGAGCAAACAGGAUUAGAAACCCCAGUAGUCC
rnacentral:rRNA from 1 species